UACGUAGGGUGCGAGCGUUAAUCGGAAUUACUGGGCGUAAAGCGUGCGCAGGCGGUUUUGUAAGUCUGACGUGAAAUCCCCGGGCUUAACCUGGGAAUUGCAUUUGUGACUGCACGGCUAGAGUGUGUCAGAGGGGGGUAGAAUUCCAACGUGUAGCAGUGAAAUGCGUAGAUAUGAUGGAGGAAUACCGAUGGCGAAGGCAGCCCCCUGGGAUAACACUGACGCUCAUGGCAACGAAAGCGUGGGGAGCAAACAGG
rnacentral:rRNA from 1 species